rnacentral:rRNA from 1 species
AACGAACGCUGGCGGCAGGCCUAACACAUGCAAGUCGAGCGCGCCUUCGGGUGAGCGGCGGACGGGUUAGUAACGCGUGGGAACGUGCCCUUCUCUACGGAAUAGCCUCUGGAAACGGAGAGUAAUACCGUAUACGCCCUUUGGGGGAAAGAUUUAUCGGAGAAGGAUCGGCCCGCGUUAGAUUAGGUAGUUGGUGGGGUAACGGCCUACCAAGCCUACGAUCUAUAGCUGGUUUUAGAGGAUGAUCAGCAACACUGGGACUGAGACACGGCCCAGACUCCUACGGGAGGCAGCAGUGGGGAAUCUUAGACAAUGGGGGCAACCCUGAUCUAGCCAUGCCGCGUGAGUGAUGAAGGCCUUAGGGUCGUAAAGCUCUUUCGCCUGUGAUGAUAAUGACAGUAGCAGGUAAAGAAACCCCGGCUAACUCCGUGCCAAAG